rnacentral:rRNA from 1 species
CCCGCUGAACUUAAGCAUAUCAAUAAGGCGAGGAACAGAAACCAACUGGGAUUCCCUCAGUAAUGGCGAAUGAAGUGGGAAAGGCUCAAGUUUGAAAUCUGGUGUGGGUCUUGUCCUGCCCCAGAGUUGUAAGCUGAUGAGGCAUGAUGGGCGCCGGCCUGUGGUCUCAAUUCCCUUGGGAUAGGGAGUCGAGGAGGGUGAGAACCCCGUGCAUGGCUGAAAGGCUGGCGUCAGUUGUGUCAUGUCCUCAAAGAGUCGGGUUGUUUGGGAAUGCAGCUCGAAAUUGGGUGGUAAAUUCCAUCUAAAGCUAAAUAUUGGCGAGAGACCGAUAGCGAACAAGUAGAGUGAUCGAAAGAUGAAAAGUACUUUGAAAAGAGGGUGAAACAGUAUGUGAAAUUGUUGAAAGGGAAGCGCUUGGCAUCAGCCCUCGAUGUGUGUCGAUCAUUCUGGCCUUGUGCUGGAUGCACUCGAUGCAUGUUGGGUCAGCGUCGGCCCAAUCCGUUGGAGAAACGUCCUGUUGGGCAUGUGGCUCAUCCAACUUGGGUGGGUGUUAUAGCCCUGGGCGUCAUGCGAUGGGGUGGGGUCGAGGUCUGCGGGGCAAUUUGCACCUAGGACGCUGGCUUAAUGGUCCCAAGCGACCCGUCUUGAAACACGG